UACGAAGGGGGCUAGCGUUGCUCGGAUUGACUGGGCGUAAAGGGCGCGUAGGCGGUUCGUACAGUCAGACGUGAAAUUCCUGGGCUCAACCUGGGGGCUGCGUUUGAUACGUGCGGACUUGAGUGCGGAAGAGGGUCGUGGAAUUCCCAGUGUAGAGGUGAAAUUCGUAGAUAUUGGGAAGAACACCGGUGGCGAAGGCGGCCUUCUGGACAGUGACUGACGCUGAGAUGGCGAAAGCGUGGGGAGCAAACAGGG
rnacentral:rRNA from 1 species